GACGAACGCUGGCGGCGUGCUUAACACAUGCAAGUCGAACGGGACGGCCCGGCUUUGUGGGGGAGCGCUAGUUGCGAACGGGUGAGUAACACUUAAGUAACCUGCCCUUGACUGUGGGGUGACUUCAUGAAACUUGGUGUAAUACCGGAUAGGAGCUCCUGCUUCAGGGUGGGGGUUGGAAGGUUUCGGCGGUUGGUGGUGGACUGGCGUCUUAUGGGCUUGUUGGUUGGGUAGUGGCUGACCAUGGCUUGGACGCGUAGCAGGGCUGAGCGGGUGACCGGCUCAACUGGAAUUGAGAUACGGCCCAGACCCCUACGGGAGGGAGCACUGCGGAAUAGUGCAUAAUGGGCGGAACGAUGAUCCAGCCAAGCAGCGUGCGGGAUGACGGCAAUCGGUUUGUAAACCGAUUCCGCCUGUGACGAAGUGUGAGUGACGGUAACGGGUAAAGAAGCACCGGCUAACUCCGUG
rnacentral:rRNA from 1 species